rnacentral:lncRNA from 1 species
AUUUGGCUUCAGUUCUGACAAAAGAUAAAUGAGCUUUGGGCCCUCAGUGAUUCACUCUGGCUGCCAGGGGGUUCCAAAAUAGCAAACUAUUUUUCAUAACCGCAAUGUGAUAUGAAGUGAGUUGCAGCAGGUGCUCUAACGUAUACUACAGCCGUCUGUGGAGUGGGGAAUUCAUUAAGUUUCCUCGUUUGUCCAAAAAAAAGUCACCUUUCUGACUGGCUAGCAUUCUGUCUUUGCCAGCUGAAGGUACGCUCUCCUGAAGCCAGAAAAAGGGUUUUUUUGGUUGUGAGGCAUGUACAUAUGGAAACAGUACUGUGAAGUGAAUUUGAUCAUCUUGUGAGAUGAGAAUAGUUCUCAUUUGGUUGAUCCAUUUUUUACUUUUCCAUUCAGUGCGAUUCUUUUUUUUUUUUUCUUUUAUUUUGCUCUUUCUCAGGGAUGCAGAAGAGUCCAUGAUUUUCACUUUGCACUGUGUUACACUGUCCUUCUGCACUUACAGAUUUGCUGGAAGUAUGACUUCUAAUUGUGGUUCAUGAAAAAAAUUAAGUAUCUAGCAUUUGAUGGUGCGCUCUGGAUAAAGCGCUUCUUUCGUGGACCCACUGUGAAUAAAUCAAUGAUGUACUUCCACAGAAGCUCGAAGACCCAUGUCCAUUGGUAGAAAAAAGAAGUGGAGAACAAUUAAAAUAAUCCUUGGUUUCAUAUUUGCAAGUUUAUAGCUGGAAAAAAACUGGACACCUGGUGCAUGAAUAAGACCAACUUUCAAAUUGUACAAGGCUUCAGGGUUUCUAAGGAAAAAUUACAUCUACGUGGAAGCUGUCUAAUGAAAGUUCAAAGGAAAGAGUGGAACAGAAGAGACAAGCAAGCAUUCAAAGGCCCAGGAAGGACUCCCAGUUUGAGUCCUGGAGGAUACUGUUCACAUACUAAAAGUGAGACCUUAGCAGUGAGAUGGAAAGGACACAAAAAGCUAGGAAAAAGAGCUGGAAGCGUUUUGUUUAGCCUGCUUUUUUUGGUUUAACCUUGCAAGGGUAGGAUUUGUAGCUGGAUAGGCAGCUACAAUCACAUGAGCUUAUGUGAAACAGCUGGAGCAAAAGUUGAAAAAGGUAAAAAGAGACAAAAAAUGGUAUCUGUUAACAUCU